rnacentral:rRNA from 1 species
UACGGAGGGUGCAAGCGUUAUCCGGAUUCACUGGGUUUAAAGGGUGCGUAGGUGGGCAGGUAAGUCAGUGGUGAAAUCUCCGGGCUUAACCCGGAAACUGCCGUUGAUACUAUUUGUCUUGAAUAUUGUGGAGGUAAGCGGAAUAUGUCAUGUAGCGGUGAAAUGCUUAGAUAUGACAUAGAACACCGAUUGCGAAGGCAGCUUACUACACAAUGAUUGACACUGAGGCACGAAAGCGUGGGGAUCAAACAGG